rnacentral:misc_RNA from 1 species
GUAGGUGAACCUGCGGAAGGAUCAUUAUCCUAACAAACUCUUCAUGAAAGCGAAGUUUUAAACCCACUGUGAACCAAAAAUCAUUAUAGCUUCGGUAGCAGUGCUGUCAGUUCUACUGUCCGCAUGUCAGCCUGCCGGUGGCAACCAAACCAAACCUUUGUUUAACAAAUCUAGUCUGAAUCCAAAUUUUCGAAUGAAAAUUAAAACUUUCAACAACGGAUCUCUUGGUUCUC